rnacentral:lncRNA from 1 species
CAGUAAAAUUGUGUUAUAAUCUUAAUCUCUAUAAAAACAACUAUGUCAACAUAGAAAGAAUAAAAUGGUAUACAGACUAUGUAAAUAAGCAAAAUGAAAGACAAAUACAAAAAUGAUGAUAGCACAAUAACACAAUGGCGGGAUGUAUAUUCUAUAAAAUGGAGCUAACAAUGAGAAAAGUACAUAUGUUUUGACGUAAAACAUUUUCUCUUUAAGAAUUGAGUAACAUUGGAAAUAAGAUAUGCCUUUUAAGAUACCAUAUUGAAUUAAUGAUUGUGUUCCCUUUUUGUUGUUUCAAUGCUAAAGAGAUUGACAUUUUUGUAGUAAAUCAACAUCCUUUCCAACUGCAC